CAUUGUGAUGCAGGAGCAGUGGAACAAUGCCAGGCAGCCCUUCACCAGGGGCUUAGUUGCCUGUCCAGCACACAGAAACACCUCUGCUAAAGAAAUGUGAAAGGAGAAGCAGAAACGUGCUAUUUGGAAACAAUUCUCCUGUUUGACAUCCAGGAGGUUUCCAGAGAUCUAUUUCAGCAGAUUCUAUCUACAUCAUGAAAAGGAGGAAGCCCAAACUGAAGUGAGUCACAAACAUCAUUCCCAACACAGGACUGUGGCUUGGCCUUGAGGUGAGCAUGAUGAAGAAGAACAAGAACAAGAGCAAGAAGUCAGUGAAUAAGCAAGAAUCCCUCUGCAUCCCACACCGCUACAGACUAGGGCAUCUUAACAUACUGGAUGGGGGAGAGUAUUCCCCUUAUGUAUCUCCUCCCAUACUGGAGAGCAAUUUCAUCCAGGUCAAUAGGAGAGGUGAAUCUAUUUACCUGCAUAACCGAGCAAACUGGGUGACCGUAGGCAUCUGUUCUUCCAAUCCCAUCUUCAAGACCCCCAAUAUGAUGCUCUUGGCACAUCUGACACCAGAAGCUCGAAAAGAACCAGAGCCCCUCUUUAAAACCCUUCUGAAGUCUUCCUCUUCGGGGACGCUGGUGCUCACCAGGUUUAUCCCUCUGCAGUUUGUGACUCUUUCUGUGCACAGUGCUAAGAACAUGCGUCUCAAGGUAAAGCUGGUCAACGGCCGGUCUUACUACUUACAGCUCUGUGCUCCUAUGUAUAAACAGGACAUCGUAUUUUCUCAGUGGGUAGACCUCAUCCCCCUCUUGAAUCAGGAAAAAGUCAAAACUACCAAAGUAUCAGAGGUCUCGAGCCUCUCAGAACUCACAAACAGCACAGACAUCACAGGCUCGAUGGACAUCACGGACAUCGCUGCUUUCACAGAACUGCGAACCAUGCACCCGAAGACACACAGAUGCCCUUGUAAUAUCAUAGAAAGUGCAGACUUAUCAGAAUAUACAGAUGUCACCGAUGUCACCGAUGUCACUGAUGUCACUGAUGUUCCAGAAACUGGGGUCACAGAUGCUCAAGAUGUAAAAAUUGUCACAGAAGUCACAGAAGUCUCAGACGUCAAAAUGGCCACAAACAUCUCAGGGGUCAAAAUAGUAUUUGAAAACGACGAUAUAAUAAAGACCAAGCAGGAGGAAAAGGAAUAUAUGCUGAAGCAUAGGAGUCUACGAGAUACAAAAACUAAGAAUGACUACCGAGAUUCCCCCAAACAUGUUGCCAUCUCAAACUUAACCCUGGCUUUGCAAGAUGAAGGGUGUUUUCAGACUACUCUGACUUCUGUAAAAAGCAAUGAAAACAUAUGCAAAGAAAUAUGUGAUGAAACUGCUGAAGAAAAUAUGAUUGGUCUUCAAAACAUACAUCUAAAGGCCACAGAAUCCAGGAGUACAAGAACUGGUUCAGACAUUUCAGGCUUGUAUAGUUUCUCAGUUUUCCCCCUGAUUAGCAUUUCUUUCCCCUUCUUCACCCUACUCUGAAUCAAGUUUUUCCUUCUCACACACUCAUGGUAAUUAAUACUCUCUACCUCAAGAAGGCAAAGGUUACCCCAUCCUAAGCCCUCCUUCUAUUAAAUUCAGUCUAAACAAACACUAAAACGCCUCUGUAAUUCUAAUUUCUAGGUAAAGCCAGAAUAAUAAUGCUGCCCAAUGCUGGGAGAAAUCAGUCUCUGUGGUGAGCUCCCAGGCUCCUAGGCAAUGGUAGUUAAGGACAAAACUAUGUGGUUGGCCUCCCACACAGCUCUGCAGCUGAAGGGGUUUCUGUGACAUGUUUUGUAGAAAGUGGCACUUCAAAUACACUGUUCCUAUAAGCAAGGCCACGUAAAGACAUGGCAGGUACCAAGUUAGACCUGUGUCUCUGGACCCAAGUCACUCCUCUCCUUCCUUGAUUUUUAAUUUCUUACCUUUCAAGGCUUCAUUCUUCUCAACCUUUCCGAUUUCUUUGUAGUGAGCCCAGGGCAUAGGCUUUCUUAUGAUGCCAUAGUAUUCUUCCUACAUGACAAGGAAUGAGACCAAAGACAACACUUCAAGAAACGAGAGGAAAAUCAUACAUGAAAUACCCGGUUUCCUUCCCACCCCACCAGUUUCUUUUACCUUCCUGCUCAAUACUACAAAUCAAAUUCUAAGCAGUCAUUUCAUGCGCUGCUGUUUAACCCAAACUAAAAAGAAAAGGGGAAGGAAGGCCCCAGAAGGGACCAGGUUUGUGAAGAGCAGUGAGCUCCCCUGCAAAGAACGUAGACACCUGGGAGGGGUUUAGAACACCGUUUGAACUAGAGACCCAGAUUAAGUUUUCUCCUUGUGUGCCCCUUUCUCUUGUCCUGGGCCUUCCUUCUCCCACUUUUUUUCUCUAAUGAUAUCACUUCCAUCUGCCUGUACUCGAGCCCCUCUUCCCCUUUGGCUCCCCCCCCAUUCUAAAUCCUUUUCUAAUUCCCCAACCUUCGACCUCAUCUGUCUCCCCCUUUCUCAGGGGGAAUGCACACAAGUCUAGUAAAACAGAAAAGGUCACAUUGGAAAAACCUGUUGGAUGGCCUAAAGAUGGUGAACUGAAGCUUGGAAGAUAUUUGCUCAAGGUAUAUGAAUCUCUAGAAAAUGGUGGAAACGGGAUUUGAACACGAGAAGCCUUAUAGCCAAGCUAAACAGUAACUCGCAAACUCGUGCAUAUUUCUGCUUAGCAGUACUCCUCUAGAGAACAAUCCUUUACCUAUUAUUCUCUUGGCUCACUGCCCAGGGGAUUUGUCUUCCUUCACCUGCUUCUCUAAAGAUGGAAAGAAUUUCUUUCCUACCUCCACAUCAAGAAAGAUUCCCAUGAUACCAACAAGAGACUACUACUGGUGAUGUGUUAAAAUCUGAAGUACAAAUAAACAUUUUGCAAUUUGGAAA